rnacentral:lncRNA from 1 species
AUGCAUCAGCAGGCUCUAAUCACCUUGACAAGCCUCACCUGGGCCACCAGCCCUUCUCCCAGGGCUGUAUUUAAGCUCAGGCCCUUGCCCCCACUCCUUUUUUGGAGCAGUGCUGUGUUUGUGCUGUGCCUUGCUCCUUGCUCUCUCCAGCCUGACUGCCUGCUGUGGUCUUGGUGCUUCCUCACCCCUGUGGACUUAUCUGGUGGUCUGCAGGUCCUGCUCUGCUUUCUGUGCUUAGGUGGCUCCAGCUCAGCUCCUUCUGCAGAGCAUCCUGCUUGCUGUACCCAGCAGGUAUAUUUUGUGGUGCUUCCUGGUGCUCCUGUAACUGUUUGCUCGGACAGAAAGCGUCGUGGCAUCGCAGGAGCAGGCACAGAAAAGCAGUGGGAAGAUGGAGCUGCAGGGAAAAACUCCAAGAGCCAGCGGGAUGGGCUGCUAAUACUUGGGACUUUUCCAUCAGCUCAUGAUGCUCCUUUACCUGAGUUUCUCCUGUUUGGGCUUAUGUCCACGAUCUGCAGUCACUCUUCUAGGACAGGUCGGCUGGCCUCUGAAGGACAGUAUAGUGAUGUCAAGAUGUGCCAUGGCCGACUACCUCCCUGA